ensembl:lncRNA PSMB8-AS1 PSMB8 antisense RNA 1 (head to head)
AGUUAGUGCCUGGACCAGGACCAUCACACUGGGGACCGGCUUCUCUGCUCUCCCGUUAUGGGGGUCGGGGGAAUGAUGGGUCAAGGGUCUUCCGAAGAAAGCGAGAAAGGAACAGGCGCCUUCAAAAGCCCACUUGGCGAUGGGUUACAGUAAGAGGUACCUCCAGGCCCGGGCAUCCGCUGGAAACAGGGGUGGGUAGGGUCGUGUCAUCUAAAGGCGCAGCUUCAACCAGAAGACUAGAAGUCAGCCAGGAGCUGGGAGUAGUGUCACGCGGGGUGGGGGUUCCUAUGAGCAUCACUUUACAAAACCAGGAGGGACGGAAGUGCGAGGGGGCAGAGUCUUGGAAACAGGUCCUGGGCCAACUGCAACAGAAUAUACCCGCCGCGUGUAGGGGAAGGCGGCGCCAGGGAGAGGGCGCAGUCUCUGAAUCUUUCCACGGGGUCCAUCCUAGGGCCCCUCCAGGUUCAACGGUCUCCUAACCUGUAGUCACCCACAAGAGCGUGCCCUUUCUGCCCGCCCUUCCUAGCGUUGCUCCCUGCUUGGCUGAGCACUGCGGAGUUUCACGCCUCUAAACCCCGCCUCUUCUUGCAACCUGUGUUGGCCUCAUCUACCCAGCAACUGUCGACGUCACACGACCUGGGCCUCCCUGAAUGGGAGAUAUUUACUAGGCAAUCCCGCCUACUGUUCUGAGGUUUCCCCUCCAGGUGCAGCUUCAGAGCCAGGCGAGCCAGGAAGGACCAGCGGGCGAGGUGGUGAGUUGUGAGGCGCGCCCAGUCCCUCUGUUCCCGCCUGGCACUUGCUCUGGCCGCGCCCGCCCCAUCUGCCACUUCGGAGAGGCCACGGCUCUGAGCUGCGGCCGCUAGUGCCCUGAUGGGCCCUGUGGCUGGGGUCUUGCACAUUCUUGGGGGUGGGCCUAAGGGGAUAGGGGAAGUGGAAGGGGCCUCAUAGGAAUUAAAAAGCUUAAGGGAAAAGGUGAUGCAGUUAGGGGGUAAAACAUUGAGGAUGAUAAAAGAGGAGACAUCCGCAGCUGAAAAGUGCGCUGCAAAAGGCAGUGGGCCGUUUGGUGUGCCGGAAACAUAAGAAACCACAGUACAAAACACCAAUUUUAUUAUAAAUAUCAAGAACCUACAGGGUGUUUAUGGGCCAGCAUAUGCCUUCAGUUAUGUUGAAAAUAGCUGAUCAUCUUUCCGUACAUUCUGAACAUUUCUCAGUUUCAGAGUGCUGGCCACACCAAAGCAUCAGCCCUGGCUCUAAACUCCGUUACAGUAAGGAAUUACAAAUCCUGUGUUUGUACUCCAGGAAGUCUGCAUUAUCACGAGGAGCUUGGAAAGGAGGUAACACACUCAAGGCAAAUUUCAAGUAACUCAUCCUGGAGGCAGCUGCCUACUCUGCAGCUGUGGUUCUCCACCACAGAGAGAAGAAAAGGGAGGGAGAUGGAGUGCGCAGGUCUGAGAAGGCUUUCAUUCUGGAGCAUCUGCAGGAGCCUGCACCAUGGCCCAGUAGCACCCCUUUUUCUCCAUGAGCUGCUGGUGGGUUCCCCCCUCCCGGAUAGCGCCUCCUUCCAGAAAGAGGAUGUGGUCAGCCUGCUCCACCAGGCUGAGGUGCUGGGUGAUGAGAAGCACUGAGCGGGAGUACCGCUCAGGGCUUUCGUACAGGAGCUGCUCCACCUGAGGAAAGACAUCGGACCGUCAGAGCCGGGGACUACCCUCAGCCCAGGGAGACACCUGUGUUUCCAGGGCUGGGACUGACCUCACAGGAUCACUGCUGGCUCUGCUAACAACCCCAAGGACACCAACGUUUCCCAUUCUGAGUACUUCUCCGCAAACCCUUUGUUUCAUUAAGGACUGUUUUACAUGAAGGGUGCAAAAGUAGGAUAAAAAUGAGAACCCUAGGGUGAAACACGUGACAGAAGAAUAAAGACUAUUGAAUAGUCCUCUUCUCUACCCAUGGACUUGGCAUUUUUAUAUUCGAUUUUAAGGAAAUAUAACUUAGUAGUAAAGAGAUGAGCAUUCAAGUCAGGCAGACCUGAAUUUGGGUCAAGGCUGCGCCACUCAAAAGCUAUAUGACCUCUAUAUGAGCAGCUUAUUCAACCUCUUUUAACCUCCAUUUUGUCAUCUGUAGAAUGAUGAUAAAUGCCUAGCUCAGAAGGAUUCCUAAUGAAUAAAUGAGUGACAGUGCAUGU